GACGAACGCUGGCGGCGUGCUUAACACAUGCAAGUCGAACGGAAAGGCCCUGCUUUUGUGGGGUGCUCGAGUGGCGAACGGGUGAGUAACACGUGAGUAACCUGCCCUUGACUUUGGGAUAACUUCAGGAAACUGGGGCUAAUACCGGAUAGGAGCUCCUGCUGCAUGGUGGGGGUUGGAAAGUUUCGGCGGUUGGGGAUGGACUCGCGGCUUAUCAGCUUGUUGGUGGGGUAGUGGCUUACCAAGGCUUUGACGGGUAGCCGGCCUGAGAGGGUGACCGGCCACAUUGGGGCUGAGAUACGGCCCAGACUCCUACGGGAGGCAGCAGUGGGGAAUAUUGCACAAUGGGCGGAAGCCUGAUGCAGCAACGCCGCGUGCGGGAUGACGGCCUUCGGGUUGUAAACCGCUUUCGCCUGUGACGAAGCGCGAGUGACGGUAAUGGGUAAAGAAGCACCGGCUAACUACGUG
rnacentral:rRNA from 1 species